rnacentral:rRNA from 1 species
UACGGGGGGAGCAAGCGUUGUUCGGAUUUACUGGGCGUAAAGGGCGCGUAGGCGGUCACGACAAGUCAGUUGUGAAAUCUCCGGGCUUAACUCGGAACGGUCAACUGAUACUGUCGGACUAGAGUGCAGAAGGGGCAACUGGAAUUCUCGGUGUAGCGGUGAAAUGCGUAGAUAUCGAGAGGAACACCUGCGGCGAAGGCGGGUUGCUGGGCUGACACUGACGCUGAGGCGCGAAAGCCAGGGGAGCAAACGGG